AAUAUUGGGCAAUGGGCGAAAGCCUGACCCAGCAACGCCGCGUGAGUGAUGAAGGCUUUCGGGUCGUAAAACUCUGUUGUUAGGGAAGAACAAGUAUGAGAGUAACUGCUCGUACCUUGACGGUACCUAACCAGAAAGCAACGGCUAACUACGUGCCAGCAGCCGCGGUAAUACGUAGGUGGCACGCGUUAUCCGGAAUUAUUGGGCGUAAAGCGCGCGCAGGCGGUUUCUUAAGACAGAUGUGAAAGCCCACGGCUCAACCGUGGAGGGUCAUUGGAAACUGGGGAACUUGAGUGCAGAAGAGAAAAGCGGAAUUCCACGUGUAGCGGUGAAAUGCGUAGAGAUGUGGAGGAACACCAGUGGCGAAGGCAGCUUUUUGGUCUGUAACUGACGCUGAGGCGCGAAAGCGUGGGGAGCAAACAGG
rnacentral:rRNA from 1 species